UACCGGACUAUAGGGGGACGCUGAAACU
rnacentral:sRNA from 1 species